rnacentral:other from 1 species
CCGUACUUAGGAUGGAUAGUGAUAGUGCAUUGGUUCUAACCGGUAGCUAUUUCUUAAUUUUAAGUAUGAUGUUGUGUUUGCAUAUUGGUCUAGGAAACUAGACAGGAGUAAUAAUUCAUUUAUUACUCAUUUCACUUCCUGUAUAUUUUAAACCCUUUUGGUUUUAUGCCCCUCCUUUUGAGGGGCUUUUUUUA